CCUACGGGAGGCAGCAGUGGGGAAUAUUGGGCAAUGGAGGCAACUCUGACCCAGCAACGCCGCGUGAAUGAUGAAGGUCUUCGGAUUGUAAAGUUCUGUGAUGGGGGAUGAACACAAUGACGGUACCCCAAUAGCAAGCCACGGCUAACUACGUGCCAGCAGCCGCGGUAAUACGUAGGUGGCAAGCGUUAUCCGGAAUGACUGGGCGUAAAGGGUGCGUAGGUGGUUUAGUAAGUUGGGGGUGUAAUUCCGGGGCUCAACCUCGGCGCUACCGCCAAAACUAGUAGACUAGAGUGCAGGGGAGGUAAGUGGAAUUCCUAGUGUAGCGGUGGAAUGCGUAGAUAUUAGGAGGAACAUCAGGGGCGAAGGCGACUUACUGGACUGUUACUGACACUGAGGCACGAAAGCGUGGGGAGCAAACAGGAUUAGAUACCCCAGUAGUC
rnacentral:rRNA from 1 species